rnacentral:rRNA from 1 species
AUUGAACGCUGGCGGAAUGCUUUACACAUGCAAGUCGAGCGGCAGCGCGGGGCAACCUGGCGGCGAGCGGCGAACGGGUGAGUAAUGCAUCGGAACAUGUCCAUGUCGUGGGGGAUAGCCCGGCGAAAGCCGGAUUAAUACCGCAUACGCUCGAGAGAGGAAAAGCCGGGGGAACCGCAAAGGCCUGGCGCGAUUGGGUUGGCCGAUGUCCGAUUAGCUAGUUGGUGAGGUAAAGGCUUACCAAGGCGAUGAUCGGUAGCUGGUCUGAGAGGAUGAUCAGCCACACUGGGACUGAGACACGGCCCAGACUCCUACGGAGGCAGCAGUGGGGAAUUUUGGACAAUGGGGGCAACCCGUGAUCCAGCCAUUCCGCGUGAGUGAAGAAGG